UACGAAGGGGGCUAGCGUUGUUCGGAAUUACUGGGCGUAAAGCGCGUGUAGGCGGGUCUUUAAGUCAGGGGUGAAAUGCCAAGGCUCAACCUUGGAACUGCCUUUGAUACUGGAGAUCUUGAGUCCGGGAGAGGUGAGUGGAACUGCGAGUGUAGAGGUGAAAUUCGUAGAUAUUCGCAAGAACACCAGUGGCGAAGGCGGCUCACUGGCCCGGAACUGACGCUGAGACGCGACAGCGUGGGGAUCAAACAGG
rnacentral:rRNA from 1 species